rnacentral:tRNA from 1 species
GCGGCGGUAGUUCAGCGGUAGAAUGUCUCCUUCCCAAGGAGAAGGUCGCCGGUUCGAGCCCGGUCUGCCGCUCCA